AUUUUUGAAAUUCUUAAAAUUAAGUAAAGCACGAGUGUCUUUGAAGUUGAUUCUCAUUGUUUCUGAAUAACUUUUACAUACAUGUGUUGGGAAAUUUAGGGGGUGCUCUGAAACCUACGGAUGUUGAGCCAUUAUGGGUCCAUAUUACUUGUGCUUGGUUUCAACCUCAAGUUUCUUUUGCAAGUGAUGAAAAGAUGGAGCUUGCUUCUAAAGGAAUCAUUAUUAUGUACUUUAUUGUAAAAAUGGCUUAAAAUAUAUCUAUUAUUUUUGAAAUUCUUAAAAUUAAGUAAAGCACGAGUGUCUUUGAAGUUGAUUCUCAUUGUUUCUGAAUAACUUUUACAUGCAUGUGUUGGGAAAUUCAGGGGGUGCUCUGAAACCUACGGUUGUUGAGCCAUUAUGGGUCCAUAUUACUUGUGCUUGGUUUCAACCUCAAGUUUCUUUUGCAAGUGAUGAAAAGAUGGAG
rnacentral:lncRNA from 1 species